UUGACAAACAUUUAGGAAACGUUGUGUUGUGUUAAAACGCAUAGAAAUCAGAAUUGGACUUUGUCUACGUUUGUUCAUGUGUUAUGGUACACCGUAAAAACCAUCGUGAGGAGUCUGUCUAUGUUUUUUGUAUUUGUUGAUGGGGGUAUAGAGCUUUUGGUUUAUUUAACUGUUUAUCAAUUUGCCACAAGCCAAAAAUGAGAAGUGCUUUGAGAAAGCUUCUUUCAUGCAGUACUAGAUCACGGACUCUAGAUGACAAUAUACGCUCCGUGACUUAAUUAUAUACAUCUCUGAGUGACAACACUUAUGCAGCCUCAGUGUCACUUUGUUCGUAACUGUAACAUUUACCUCCCUUUUUACAACACUUUCGAUUUCAACUCAAAAUGUGCGGUGUUCUCCAUUGCUACUAGAAAAAACGUUCGAUCAGUAAGAACUGUAAAUGGAGCCGCCACUAAUACCACAACAGGAUUUUGAAAGUCGAACGUAUCGGAUUCGAAAGGCAGCGUCGGUUAUAGUUUUCACUUUAGAUAAAGCAAUGAUAGAUGGAACGAAACAAUACGUGAAACAAAAGGAUAAUGUUGACAGCAAAGGGUCUAAAUUUUGUAAUCGAAAGGUGGACGUAGAUCUGAAAUUGUUGGACGAAUUCUUCAGAGAUAAUUUUCACAUUGUACCGGAGAUAGAGUUGAAUUGUAAUGCGACUUUUAAGGAGAUCGAAGAUUGCGUCAAAAAUAUCGACGGCGCUAAAAACGACGCCUUUUUCUUUAUAUUUCUAUCAUUCCUUAACAAAGCAACUAAAAAGGGGCAGCCAUAUAGAGAUUGCUCUCAUAGCCUUCAGGUGAAAUGCCAUAUAGGCGAUUCAAAAUCCCACGAUGUACAUGAAUAUAUAAUGCCUUGCCAAGUCAUUGAUAUGGUGAAGAUAAAUGCUUCGCUUGCCUUGAAGCCGAAAAUAUUCAUUUUUCAAGCAGAUGAUGCAAGUCUACUACCAACAAAGAUGGUAUCAAAAGGUCCAACUGCAUAUGUCGAUUUCAAACGCAUGAGGAUACCUACGGACGCUGACCAGCUUAUGAUUAUAUCAACUCUGCCUCAAGAUCUUGCUAAUCUCCAACGAAUUAAAGAAGAUUUACCUACAUCGUCAGAGGCAGGCGUUGUUAUGCAGCCAUCCAGUGAGACAAAACAAAGUCCAAAAGAUAAACCUCAAUAAAGAUCGAAGAAUCCGUCUCUGCUUAUCAGCGCAAUUGCAAACAUCCUUAAGUACAACAAAGAUUCGGAUGUUUUUGCUUGCACUCCGCGUAUCAAUGGCGAGGUUAAGAGGCUGAUUGAAGAUCUGCACAUUGACAUGAAAGAUGUACCUGGUGGGGAACUUCCCGUUCCUCUGGUUUAUUCUACAUUAACGAAACGUCUGUGUUUCUACAAUGAAAGGGACUGUGAAUACGGACUGUAGAGCCCAAUGUCACACGCAGGACGAUACCAACUGACGCGGACCAGCUUGUGAUUAUAUCAACUCUCUAUGUAUACUAUUAGCUAAUCUACAAAGUCUUAUACCUAAACAAUUAUGGUUGAGACAAUAGUAAAAACAUAGCAAACAUUAAUUGCAUCGAUUCUCUUUCUUCAGGAAUCAACUUUAAUAAUUGUAUUCAAUAUAUCACCUAGCACUUCAUCUAAAGUAUGUUUAUUAAUGGAAACUCCGUUUGCGCUGUUGACACCACCCAGUACACAAACGAAUAUAACAAAAUGAAAAUAUUUCGAGGUUCUUCAUAUAAGACACGUGGGCAAUUGAGAGGAUUACUAUGGAAACGGGUACAUAAAUGUUGACAGAACAGUAUCUUAAUCUACAAAAUAGACUACUCAAAAGUAACUUGUUUUUUGGCUGUGGAUAUCGCAGUUUUACUCGUAGUCGCUUCGAAAUGCUAUUUUCCACAGAUGACAUUUUCAAGUGCUUCUCACUUUGGAAUACAAACAAAUUAUUUAAAUAUCUACUGGACAUCGUAUUCGAAUUGAUCCACGAUUCGAUGAAGUAUUAUAAAACGAGCAAUAUAACUUUGCAAUAAACAUAACGAAAUAGGAACACUCUUUUUUUACUUAAAGUGAAAAGCGUGUUUAUGUUAAUCGAACAUGCGCUAAAUAUGUAAUAAUUAUUGGUUGCUCAAUAUCAUAUAUUUCAAACCAUUGCUAGACACACAUAUUUAUCUUUCGAGAGCCCAUAUUAUCACCUGACUACACAUUUAAUCAUCGCACAUACCCAAAUAAGGGUCCAUUAAAGUUCCCGAAUGCAUCAUACUGUUGAUAGGCCAACAGUUUUUAAAUGUGCAUUUUCGUCUUCCCUUACACGUGCCAUUAUUUGGAAAACCUGGCACUAAAUCGCAUAUUGUAGAUGUCUUUUGUCAUGUUUACACGAAAGCACGUAGCUUCGCCGAUUAAUCGAUUCGUUGAACUAUUUUUCUUUUGUUGCCUAUUGUUAUUAAUGUUAUCAUAUACAUACAAGUUACUAACACCAGCAAACAUGAUUAAGUUAUGUUGUUUAUAAGUUAUAUGCGUGUUAUAUGGUUUUUUUUCCCUUAAGUUAUGUAUUUGUGUGUACGACUUCUAACUUUAUCUUUAUAUUAUGCCUUCUUUUUUCUAUUUCGUUCCCAAGACAUUCUCGAUGGAAUGACUUCCUAACUCGUGGAAACGAUUUGGUUAUGUAGUGGGAACGACUUACUAAAUCGAUGUAACGUGCUAGAAAAAAUAGGAGUGCAAAACGAACUACAAAAUGAGUGCAAUAAUAAAAAAGAGCAGUGCAAUAAACAAAGAUGGGAUGCAUUUACCAAAAGAGAAGAGAAUUCACGCUAACUGGAGGGAGCGAGUUAGUAAGCCAAUUACAUUGUGCGUACUUUGUCCACAUUUUACACACGAAAGUUGAAACAAUGUUCUAAUUAUAUCUGCAAUUUGCGGCUUUUUUUAAUGAACGAUAUUUAUUUAGGCGUGAUCUUGUGCUGUGAUGGGAAGCCUGAGUGCCCGGAGGAAACCGAUUCUGUCCGGUAUGGUGACCACCAUUCUGUUCUGUUCUUAUGUGCUGACCGGUUUCAAAUCAUACCAUGUCAGCUUUACAAAUGCGUACAGAAUAUUUGCAAAUGUUACGCACAAGUUGAUUGGCUGACUAACUCGUUCGUUCGAGAAAGCUAAACUUCUCUUUUCUUUUCGUAUGUAAAGCCAAAACACACCAAUAUUAAACCCAGCAAACAUGAGAUGUCUUUUGGACGUCUUUAUUUUGUUGUUUUACACACGGACUCUAGAUGAGAUAGCCACUUAAAUCCUGGAAUUAAGUUAAACUGUUUGAAUUUAACAAUAUUUUGAUAAUUUAAUGCAAAUAUGUUUCGUUAGUAAAAUAAUUUUUUUUACAUUUAUUUAUUGCAUGCUAAAUUUUCAAUGUUGCACACAAAAUAAUCAGAUUCUUUAAACUUUUUUAUGUAUGUAUGUAUGCUGUUCUGUUGCACACAAAUAAUCAGAUUUUUAAACUUGUUUAUGUAUUGUUCUGUUAGGAACGCUAAAAUGUAUAAGUUAUACAUCUUAACAAUUUAUUACCAUCAUCACUAAAAUAAUAAACGAAAAACUGCAAGAUAUGUAGAUCACAACCCACGCUAUAAGCAAUAGACAUAAGCAAGUUAAUUGUUUUUCGAGUGCAUUUACGAAACCUGCUAACUUCAAGUGUAGUUUAAAUUGAAGUGAAUCUUUUUUCGCUUAUCGAGUUUUGUCUCACAUCUCAGUGAGAAUACAGUGCUUUUAAUUGUACACUUCGCUUUUAUUAUUUAAAAAAGGUUGCCUACAAAUAUUUGCAUUAUAUCUCUUAACGUUAUAUUUGUACGUGUCGUGUGUUAGCUUGCAGCUCAUGCCAACCGUAAUGAGUUACGGAAAUAAAUGUUUUUAAGUUGUAUACAUGACAUUUUACAAAAUAACUAUUUUCCAAUUUCAUGUAAUUUCGGUCUACUAGUAUUAAUAAAACAUGCAACCACA